rnacentral:rRNA from 1 species
GCAAGUCGAGGGGUAACGGGGAGUGCUUGCACUCCGCCGACGACCGGCGCACGGGUGCGCAACGCGUAUGGAACCUGCCCUUUACAGGGGAAUAGCCUUUGGAAACGAAGAUUAAUGCCCCAUAGUACCCUCUGUAGCAUUGCAGGGAGGUUAAAGGCUUCGGCCGGUAAGGGAUGGCCAUGCGUACCAUUAGUUAGUUGGUAAGGUAACGGCUUACCAAGACAUCGAUGGUUAGGGGCCCUGAGAGGAUAGUC